rnacentral:rRNA from 1 species
UUUAAAGAGAGUUUGAUCCUGGCUCAGGACGAACGCUGGCGGCGUGCCUAAUACAUGCAAGUCGAACGAACGGAGGAAGAGCUUGCUCUUCCAAAGUUAGUGGCGGACGGGUGAGUAACACGUGGGCAACCUGCCUGUAAGUUGGGGAUAACU